AACUUCUGAAUGUUGACCUCGGAUCAGGUAGGAAUACCCGCUGAACUUAAGCAUAUCAAUAAGCGGAGGAAAAGAAACCAACAGGGAUUGCCCUAGUAACGGCGAGUGAAGCGGCAACAGCUCAAAUUUGAAAUCUGGCUUUCGGGCCCGAGUUGUAAUUUGUAGAGGAUGACUUUGAUGCGGUGCCUUCCGAGUUCCCUGGAACGGGACGCCAUAGAGGGUGAGAGCCCCGUCUGGUUGGAUGCCAAAUCUCUGUAAGUCUCCUUCGACGAGUCGAGUAGUUUGGGAAUGCUGCUCUAAAUGGGAGGUAUAUGUCUUCUAAAGCUAAAUACCGGCCAGAGACCGAUAGCGCACAAGUAGAGUGAUCGAAAGAUGAAAAGCACUUUGAAAAGAGAGUUAAAAAGUACGUGAAAUUGUUGAAAGGGAAGCGUUUAUGACCAGACUUGGGCUUGGUUAAUCAUCUGGGGUUCUCCCCAGUGCACUUUUCCAGUCCAGGCCAGCAUCAGUUUUCGCCGGGGGAUAAAGGCUUCGGGAAUGUGGCUCCCCUCGGGGAGUGUUAUAGCCCGUUGUGUAAUACCCUGGCGGGGACUGAGGUUCGCGCUUCUGCAAGGAUGCUGGCGUAAUGGUCAUCAACGACCCGUCU
rnacentral:rRNA from 1 species